AAACGGCCGCGGUACCCUAACCGUGCAAAGGUAGCAUAAUCAUUUGCCUUUUAAUUGGAGGCUGGUAUGAAUGGUUUGACGAGAGCCACGCUGUCUCUCCCAAAAUAUCUAAAAAUUAACUUUUAGGUGAAGAGGCCUGAAUAUAUUUAAGGGACAAGAAGACCCUGUUGAGCUUUAGUGUAGUUACAAAUAAUUAAGCGAGUUUUAUUUGACAAAAUAAAAUGAUGUUGACUUUGUAUAACGUAAGUUGUAAUGAAUCUUUAGUUGGGGCGACUGAGGAACAAUGAAAGCUUCUUUUUAUAAAACGUUUUUGUUGUAUUAAUGAAGUAUAAGUUGAUUUUUACUAAUUAUUUUGAUCCAAAUUUGUUUUGAUUAAAGGAAAAAGUUACCACAGGGAUAACAGCGUAAUCUUUCUGGAGAGACCUUAUCGAAAGAAGGGUUUGCGACCUCG
rnacentral:rRNA from 1 species